GGACAGUUUUCGACUGCUUAGAUCAUCGAAAACAACAGUUCUUAAAAGAUAAUAAAGGUAAACCUUCCAAUUAAUUCAAAUCGAAUUUUACUCGAAAAAUUUACGAUAACGAACAUCAAAAUAAAACCAAGACACUCCAAUAGAUUAUAUUAAUAAACACGGAAACAAUUUUUCCCUGGAUUGAGUCCGAACUAACAGUAUGCCACCAUUACAGCUGUAAUUUUCUAUUCGGUGUCCAGCCAGGGUGCAGAAUUGUUUAAUAUGAAACAUCCACCCUCUUUUAGCCAUCUCAUUUACACGAGUUAUGCAUAUUUUUAAAUUCUUACGGUGUCGAGGGCCUGAAGAAAGGUGAGUACGGCCGUCUCUAUCGAUUCUCCUUCAUACCCCUGGCUAAAAUUAGAAACUAGCAUGAGAAAAGUCACUUCACCAUUCAGUUUUAAGCUAAGGCAAUGACUGUCAAGAAAUAACCAUACUUAUGGCUGAAUUAUAGUAAAUACUAAUAGAGUAAUAUAGUUAAACGCGUCCAGCUCUUUCUGUUAGUUUACGCAUUUUUUAAUACAAAAUCGGUGGAAACGACAUAAGUAGGAGAGCCUCUUCAAAUCUGCCAGGUCACAAUGAAGGACGAGCUGGAUGUGAUCAAAAAUGAAGAAUGGGAAGAAGAGCUGGAAAACAUCGAAUUAACGUGACGUAGUUGUUAGAUCUCCAUUUGAUCAGAAUGAUUUCCUAAAAUGCCAACACUUGGCUAUUUUUGUUUUCCACAAUAUUUUGACCAAGACCAACUACCGUAAAUUAAAUACAUAUAAAUACUUCGUUUUUUUAAUUAAAAUUAGCUUUAUAUGAUCAAAACUCCCUAAUCGGUUCACUAGCCCAUACAAACGAAAAGGGAGGAAAUUUCGUGGUAUAAAAGAGUUUCUACAAUUAAAAAAAGAGACGCAUGGAAAUGGACAAAGUUGAAAAGAAUGUUUGUGCCGCUGUCGACCUUAGCCCAGCGUUUAACUUCAAUUAGUUUUUUCGUUAACUGGAGAAUGGCCGGCCCAGAAAAUAGAGCUAUCACCUUUACAUUAACAGAAGAGAAGAAGAAACGGCUUUUUUUAAUCAUGGCAUAUAUUUUUACCAUCUUAUUUAGAAGUUGGAGAUCCAAAGUAAAGCUAGGCGGAAGCCCGCGAAAUGCCCACGGAUGGCGAAAAUUGGUAAAAAGUAGAAAGAAGUAAACAGUUAGAAUUGGGAGAAAGUAUAAGAAUGUAUAAAAUUUGAAUGAAUAACUUUUUGGUGGCAUUACUGUACUGUAUCAGAUUCGGCAUUUCAUCGGCCGUUUCAUUAAUUGUCACAUCUUAUACCCGUUACAGACUGGACCGCUUGAAGUGCUUUGGGAUAGAGUUUAGCGGAGUGGUGCUUUCCAGACACGAAAUGUUGAAGUACGUUAAGAGUUAGGGCACUUUGAGUUAACGGAUGUCCC
rnacentral:lncRNA from 1 species